ensembl:lncRNA
CUGGGUUGACACAGGUAGGGAGGGUGCUGUAACUGCUGCAUGGCACAAAUCAGCAGAAGUGUAAUGAAGCUAAAUGUUUGGAGCUCUUAGGUACAAAACUACCUAAGCUGUUCUUUAUCAAAACAAAGUAUGCAGGGUAGCUUGCUCUCAAGAGAAAAGUUACCCCAAGAGAACCUUUAGGUCAACAUUUUUGUGUCAUAUGUGUGGUUAUAUGUUUCUUCUUAAAUGAAUGAGUUGUACAAUAUCAUUUUCCUUUAGUAUAAAAUCAGUGCCCCUUGCUGGGAGUUUUUUGCUCUUUGUCUGAUGAUCCUGGUUUUGAAAGUGCACAAGCAGUGCAUUUUCCCUUUUUAAUGAGUUCACUCCGAGAGGCAAUAUUAAACACAUUACCACCUUGCUUAUGUCAUGAAAUUAUUUUCAGUACUGGCUAGAGAAGGAGAUGGAUAAGGUUGGGAAUUAAAGGAAAUAUCAUUUUCAGUGAUAUUUUGAUAUCCCCCAUUCACAAGUGUAUAUGCUAGAUCUGUCAAAAUACACAUCUGUAAAACUGAUUUUCAAAUAGCACUAAUGGGCAUCCAUCCCCACUGUGCACCAGGAAUCCAAACUGUUUGUCUCACUAGCUACCGAACAAGAAAAUCAUCAUAUGCUAGCCAGCUUGAGACUCAAGAAGCAGACUGAAUUCUUCUCAGUUUACAAAUCAUGAAUUGGAGACACUAAGUAUAAAUGUUUUACUAAAGUAAUUAAUCCUAUUAGUGAUGCACAAGCUGGGACAGAAUCCAAUUUACCUGCUGGUUUUACAGGGAAAAAAAAUAUACUUUAAUGAGAGAGAGAUUAUAUGAUUCUAAAUUUAGGCAAGGGGAAAAAUGCAGUUGCCUUUCAGAUGGUAGCCAUACUUUAUAAGAUGUUUCAUUUUGGCUAAGGUAGGUAGCUCAGAUUCAUUGAUGUCUUCUUUCGGGAAGACACAGAGGGAAUAAUUGCUAUUAUGAGCAUGUUUUGAAAAUAAAGACUACUAGAAUAAAUGAAUGACCCUUCUUACAUAGAGGCAUAAUCCUUGAGAACAGUUUAAAUCCAGAGACCAAUUCAACCCACUUUCUUUCCUAUCAGAGGGUCACAGUGUGCUAAACCACCAUAAUCACAGUUUCUGCCCCACGAUCUCAUUAAUUGCACAACUAUUCACAAUAUAAUAUC